AGAGUUUGAUCCUGGCUCAGGACGAACGCUGGCGGCGUGCCUAACACAUGCAAGUCGAACGAGAAUCUUUGAACAGAUCUUUUCGGAGUGACGUUCAAAGAGGAAAGUGGCGGACGGGCGAGUAACGCGUGAGUAACCUGCCCAUAAGAGGGGGAUAAUCCAUGGAAACGUGGACUAAUACCGCAUAUUGUAGUCAAGUCGCAUGACUAGAUUAUGAAAGAUUUAUCGCUUAUGGAUGGACUCGCGUCAGAUUAGAUAGUUGGUGAGGUAACGGCUCACCAAGUCAACGAUCUGUAGCCGAACUGAGAGGUUGAUCGGCCGCAUUGGGACUGAGACACGGCCCAGACUCCUACGGGAGGCAGCAGUGGGGAAUAUUGCGCAAUGGGGGCAACCCUGACGCAGCAACGCCGCGUGCAGGAAGAAGGUCUUCGGAUUGUAAACUGUUGUCGCAAGGGAAGAAGACAGUGACGGUACCUUGUGAGAAAGUCACGGCUAACUACGUGCCAGCAGCCGCGGUAAUACGUAGGUGACAAGCGUUGUCCGGAUUUACUGGGUGUAAAGGGCGCGUAGGCGGACUGUCAAGUCAGUCGUGAAAUACCGGGGCUUAACCCCGGGGCUGCGAUUGAAACUGACAGCCUUGAGUAUCGGAGAGGAAAGCGGAAUUCCUAGUGUAGCGGUGAAAUGCGUAGAUAUUAGGAGGAACACCAGUGGCGAAGGCGGCUUUCUGGACGACAACUGACGCUGAGGCGCGAAAGUGUGGGGAGCAAACAGGAUUAGAUACCCUGGUAGUCCACACCGUAAACGAUGGAUACUAGGUGUAGGAGGUAUCGACCCCUUCUGUGCCGCAGUUAACACAAUAAGUAUC
rnacentral:rRNA from 1 species